GAGACUCUGUGCGCGUGCAUAUCAAUAAGCGGAGGAAAAGAAACUAACAAGGAUUCCCUUAGUAACGGCGAGUGAAGCGGGAAGAGCUCAAAUUUGAAAUCUUCAAGGUUCUACCUUGACGAAUUGUAGUUUAUAGAAGUGUUUUCUGUUAGUGGAGUGGCAAAAGUUCUUUGGAAUAGGACAUCAUAGAGGGUGAGAAUCCCGUAUUUGGUCAUUCCUCCUAGCGUUGUGAUACACUUUCAACGAGUCGGAUUGUUUGGGAAUGCAGUCCAAAAUGGGUGGUAAAUUUCAUCUAAAGCUAAAUAUUGGCGAGAGACCGAUAGCGAACAAGUACCGUGAGGGAAAGAUGAAAAGAACUUUGAAAAGAGAGUUAAACAGUACGUGAAAUUGUCAAAAGGGAAGCGUUUGACACCAGUGUUGUUUUUCCGAAAAUCAAUUACGAAUGUUUUGUUUUUAAGAAGUUAUGACUUCAUCGGCUUGCUUCUUUCUUUACGAAACUUUCUUAAUGCACUUUUCGGUUAACAAGUCAACAUCAAUUUCUUUUGUUGUAAAAGGGUCAUUGGAAGGUGGCUUUCUUUUCGGAGAAAGUGUUUAUAGCCUUUGCCUCUGCAAUCGGAGAGAUUGAGGUCUGCAGCGUAGAUCCUUCGGGGUUAGAUACAUUUGUGCUAAGCUAUAGCCUUUCAUAGACAACUUGUUGACUAUGAUCAGUCAUGUAGCUUACUCGCUUAUGCUAUUUUACCUACGCUUAGGAUGUUGAAGAUGUAGCACAUCAU
rnacentral:rRNA from 1 species